rnacentral:lncRNA from 1 species
AUGCCCCCGCGUCCAGCGAGGCGCCCCGCGGCGGCGUCGGAGCAGCGCACCUGCCGGCGCAGGCGCGCGGGGAGGGCGGGGCGGGGCCUGGGCGGGGCCUGGGCGGGACCCGGGCUCCACUUCCGGCCCCCGCGGCCCCGCCCCCCGCGGCGCGACGGCGGGUCACGUGACGGCCGCGCGCGUUCCCGGCCGCUGCGGGCUCCGGGGCCGGAGAGGGAGGCCUGCGCGGCGGCGGCCGCCCGAGAGGUGGGAGUCGGGGCGCGGCGCUCGCGGGGCGGGGGGCCGGCCGCUGCGGGCUGCUGGCGGGGCCGAGGCGCGGCGGCGCGCGGUGUCACGGCGGACGGGCCGCGCUGCGGUGGGCCGUGCGCUGCGGGCCUGCGAGGGGCGGCGGCGGCGGCGGGGUCAGGGCCGGGACGUAGGUGGACGCCCUUGGGCCGGCGGGCCGCGGCUCGGGCGCCGGAGGGCCGGGGCCGGGGCCGGCGGAAAGGCUGCGACGGGCGCCGUGGCCCCUGCCCCUGCCCCGGGCGCCGGCCCCGCACUGCCCCCGGCCGGGGUGCGAGAGGCGGCGCCGCGGCCAUUACUGCGCAGCCGCUUCCGCCGGGGCCGCCGGAGCCGCCGGAGCCUCCCCUCCCUCCCCUCCCCUCCCGUCGGCGGCGGGGUCGGGCCUCCGCCCGGGGCGUCCUGCUGCUCCCGCGGGGCGGCCUCCCGGGCCUCGGGACGCCGCGCAGCCGGGGCAUGCGGUCCCUCGUUGUGUCUGUCUCCGGAGCGUUUUUGGCUGCUUCCUCUCCCCCCCUCCCCUUUCCAUCCUCCCCCUUCCUCCCCCAUCCUUCCCCCUCCCAUCCUCCCCUCUUCCCCAUCCUCCCCCCCUCUGUCUCUCCCUCCCCAUCUCCUCCUCAUCCUCCUCCUCCCCAUCCUCCCCCCAUCCUCCCCUCUUCGCCAUCCUCCCCAUCCACCCCCCGUCCUUCCCAUCGUCCCCCCUCCCCUCCUCCCCCCAUCCCCCCCAUCCUCCCGAGUGUCCGGGUCUUGCCCAACACCCAGAGCAGCCCCUCAGCCUUGCCCUCCGUGAGACCGCCGCGUCUUCGUGUCUUGGUCCUUGUUUGGGUGAUGAUGAGCAAAGCUCCGGAGCAGUGGACGCGCCUGCAGCCCCGUGAGCCCCCCCCGCCCCCACCCCCCGGGAGGGCGUCCUGGAGGCGGAGGCCGCCGCUUUGUUCUCGGUUGCCUGGGUCGCCCCGCGCCCCCCCCCGCCCCCCCCCCCCGCCCGUCUGA